CGCAUCUGUGCAUGCAGCAUAUCAAUAAGCGGAGGAAAAGAAACCUAACAAGGAUUCCCCUAGUAACGGCGAGUGAAGCGGGAAGAGCUCAAAUUUGAAAUCUUAAAGGGUUUCCCUUUACGAAUUGUAGUUUAAAGAAGUGUUUUCUGUUGAGGUUUUGGUAAAAGUUCUUUGGAAUAGGACAUCAUAGAGGGUGAGAAUCCCGUAUUUGACCUUUACUUUCAACUUUGUGAUACACUUUCAAAGAGUCGGAUUGUUUGGGAAGUGCAGUCCAAAAUGGGUGGUAAAUUUCAUCUAAAGCUAAAUAUUGGCGAGAGACCGAUAGCGAACAAGUACCGUGAGGGAAAGAUGAAAAGAACUUUGAAAAGAGAGUUAAACAGUACGUGAAACUGUCAAAAGGGAAGCGUUUGACACCAGUGUUGUUUUUCUGAAGAUCAAUUAAAGAACUGUUUAUGCUAAGUUGUUUAGACUUUAUCAGCUAACUGUUUAGUUUUGAGCUUUUCUUUAAUGCACUUUUCAGUUAACAAGUCAACAUCAAUUUCUUUUGCUGUAGAAAAAGCUUGAGGAAGGUGGCUUGAGAUUCGUCUUAAGUGUUUAUAGCCUCUUGCCUAUGCAGUCGGAGAGAUUGAGGUCUGCAGCGUAGAUCCUUCGGGGCUAAAUGCAUUUGUGCUAAGUUAUAGCAUUUUAUAGACAACUUGUUGACUAUGAUUUGUCUUGUAGCUUACUCGCUUAUGUUAUUUUACCUACGCUUAGGAUGUUGAACGCGCACAGAGUCUC
rnacentral:rRNA from 1 species